AUUAAUUGAAGACAAAUCUGUAGAAAGAUACGACAAAAAGUUUACGGAUUUUUUUGUGUGGGCAAAAAUUUUAAAACUAAAGCCAUUACCAAUCAAGCGAAGCCCUAGGCGGUUGUCUCCUCAUACUCCUCUCUGUUCCUUUACGGUAAGAUCAUACUCUCAGAAUUCAGAUCUUUAACAAGAUAUAAACCCUAAGUGAGCACCUAUCUUGUAGAUCUGUGUUCCGAUUUCUCCUUUAAACCUGUUGUUUUUGAGUUGUCUUGUAUUCCCUGAUGAACUAUUAUUCGUCUUUUCUCGAUAGGUUGCGUCUUGUUGUCUUAGUGCCUGAACCUAUAGUACUUUUUGCUUGUGUUGAUUCGUUAUCGUGAAUAUGACUUGUCCCGCCUAUUGCAGAUUCGUUUUCGUUUGCGGUUUAUCUUCGCACUCGUAGCUUCGGAGGCCUGUCUUGCCUCUUCUCUUAUACCUCUUACUCGCAUCAGGUAAGAAGUUUGGUUCAUAUCGCUUUAGUUUCAAAACUCUAUAGAUUAUCUUUUUGUUUAUUAAAGUUGAUUGGUAAAACCCUAAUAGCAACAACUGGAAUUUUGCUGAUAUUGUUACUUUGUGAUACGUUCUGUAUGAGUGUGCUAAAGUGUUACUUUUUGAUACGUUUGAGCUGUUUUAUCAACUUCAUAGUUGUUCUCUGUGCUUUGACUUGAUUCUGUUUCUGUUUCUUCAAGAAGUCGUUAUUUUUUUUGGGUGUGUAUAUAAAGCCUAUUUUGACUGUUUAUGGAUGGAAGAGCUAACAUUGCUCUUCUUCUUCUCUUUUGUGAGAUGCACUUUUGGUUGUAUUCGUUUUUGAAUCCAAAUGGACUCCAAGAAGUUCAUGCAGAUGGUGGAGGAGAAGAAACGGCAGAUUCUCGAGAAGAAGGAAGCUCCUCUGAAAUGGGAGCAGAAAC
rnacentral:lncRNA from 1 species